rnacentral:rRNA from 1 species
UACGAAGGGGGCUAGCGUUGCUCGGAAUUACUGGGCGUAAAGCGCACGUAGGCGGUUUCUUAAGUCGGGGGUGAAAUCCUGGAGCUCAACUCCAGAACUGCCUUCGAUACUGGGAAACUUGAGUCCGGGAGAGGUGAGUGGAACUGCGAGUGUAGAGGUGAAAUUCGUAGAUAUUCGCAAGAACACCAGUGGCGAAGGCGGCUCACUGGUCCGGUACUGACGCUGAGGUGCGAAAGCGUGGGGAGCAAACAGG